rnacentral:rRNA from 1 species
UACGAAGGGGGCUAGCGUUGUUCGGAAUUACUGGGCGUAAAGCGCACGUAGGCGGAUCGAUCAGUCAGGGGUGAAAUCCCAGGGCUCAACCCCGGAACUGCCUUUGAUACUGUCGAUCUGGAGUAUGGAAGAGGUGAGUGGAAUUCCGAGUGUAGAGGUGAAAUUCGUAGAUAUUCGAAGGAACACCAGUGGCGAAGGCGGCUCACUGGUCCAUUACUGACGCUGAGGUGCGAAAGCGUGGGGAGCAAACAGG